rnacentral:rRNA from 1 species
GCCUUUAGUACGGCGAGUGAAGCGGCAAAAGCUCAAAUUUGAAAUCUGGUACCUUCGGUGCCCGAGUUGUAAUUUGGAGAGGGCAACUUUGGGGCCGUUCCUUGUCUAUGUUCCUUGGAACAGGACGUCAUAGAGGGUGAGAAUCCCGUGUGGCGAGGAGUGCGGUUCUUUGUAAAGUGCCUUCGAAGAGUCGAGUUGUUUGGGAAUGCAGCUCUAAGUGGGUGGUAAAUUCCAUCUAAAGCUAAAUAUUGGCGAGAGACCGAUAGCGAACAAGUACAGUGAUGGAAAGAUGAAAAGAACUUUGAAAAGAGAGUGAAAAAGUACGUGAAAUUGUUGAAAGGGAAGGGCAUUUGAUCAGACAUGGUGUUUUGUGCCCUCUGCUCCUUGUGGGUAGGGGAAUCUCGCAUUUCACUGGGCCAGCAUCAGUUUUGGUGGCAGGAUAAAUCCAUAGGAAUGUAGCUUGCCUCGGUAAGUAUUAUAGCCUGUGGGAAUACUGCCAGCUGGGACUGAGGACUGCGACGUAAGUCAAGGAUGCUGGCAUAAUGGUUAUAUGCCGCCCGUCUUGAAACCCGGAACAAA